rnacentral:rRNA from 1 species
GCAAGUCGAGGGGCAGCCGGGGAAAAGCUUGCUUUUCCGCCGGCGACCGGCGCACGGGUGCGCACCGCGUAUGGAACCUGCCUUGUACAGGGGAAUAGCCCAGGGAAACUUGGAUUAAUGCCCCGUAGUACCGUAUUUCGGCAUCGUUAUACGGUUAAAGCCUUCGGGCGGUACAAGAUGGCCAUGCGUCCCAUUAGCUGGAUGGUAAGGUAACGGCUUACCAUGGCUACGAUGGGUAGGGGCCCUGAGAGGGGGAUCCCCCACACUGGUACUGAGACACGGACCAGACUCCUACGGGAGGCAGCAGUGAGGAAUAUUGGACAAUGGAGGAGACUCUGAUCCAGCCAUGCCGCGUGCAGGAAGAAUGCCCUAUGGGUAGUAAACUGCUUUUAUACGGGAAGAAAAAGAGCUACGUGUAGCUUACUGACGGUACCGUAAGAAUAAGGACCGGCUAACUCCGUGCCAGCAGCCGCGGUAAUACGGAGGGUCCG